AGCCGGCUCUCCCAGGACGCUUUGCGGCGCCCGAGCCGCCGCGGCGCUGCGGCCCCUGCGGCGGGGGUAGGGGAGGCGGGGCGAAAUGAAGGGUUCGCGCGCUUGCCGUUCCGCCAGGGAGGGCCGCUAGUGGGUUCGCCCCGGGCGCCCUCGGCUUCAGCGCCGGCCCCAGCGUUCCGACUGGGCUUUGUGACGCCACGCGCUCCCGCGCCGGGCCCGCUGCUCCGGGGGUUGGCGGAGGACCGCGGGCUCCGGGGCGGCCGGGUGGGGCAGGCCGAGUCCUCGCAUGCCGCGCGCGUCCUCGCGGACUCGAGCCGCCAUCCGGCCGCGAGGUCUGGGCGCCUCGGCCCGAGGACGCUGGUUUCGAGCGGGGCCAAAGUAGACAAAGCUCGCCUCCAUUUUUUCUGAUUAUGCAGAAAAUCGAAUGUAGACAAGCGAGGCAUUCUGAGGUCGUCCAGUCUCGGGGCAUUUAGGAAUGUGCAGGUGUAUAUUAGCUUAAAAGUAUUAUACUAAUAAUAAAGGUAAAUGAUAACGUUUAAUCCAGUUCGAUGUUGCCUUGUGGAGCCCAGUCUUUGAAACUACUCCUGACCCCGCAGACUUGGGUUUGGUUUCCGCAGUUCAACCCGGGCAGUACUGCUUCCUCUAGGGUGGAUAUUUGGUUGACUUUGCAUAUGAAGAUUCGGGGAAUAGACCACGGACCACAAAGUUAAGAAUGAUAGCAUAUAUUCUACUAGAAAAAAAAAAAAGCCUUCUCACCAUAUGCAGACAAAUUCUCAGACUGGAGGGAGGGAGAAUUCAGAGAGAAAAGGCUAUAUCUCAGUGCGGGAAUGCCACGUGAGUCAACAAGGGCUGGAGGCCCAACUUUGGUUUUUUGGACACUACAGAUAACGCCAGCAGUUCUCGUGUGACCCUAGAGAUGGGAGGAGACCCAAACAUGACUGAGAUUGAAUUUCUCAUCACACA